UACGGGGGGGGCAAGCGUUGUUCGGAAUUACUGGGCGUAAAGGGCGCGUAGGCGGCCUGUUAAGUCAGACGUGAAAUCCCUCGGCUCAACCGGGGAACUGCGUCUGAUACUGGCGGGCUUGAAUUCGGGAGAGGGAUGUGGAAUUCCAGGUGUAGCGGUGAAAUGCGUAGAUAUCUGGAGGAACACCGGUGGCGAAGGCGGCAUCCUGGACCGGCAUUGACGCUGAGGCGCGAAAGCCAGGGGAGCAAACGGG
rnacentral:rRNA from 1 species